AAUAUCUGGAGAUCUUGUUAAAAUGCAGAUUCUAAUUCUCCAAGUCCAGGGUGGGGCAGAGAUUUUGCAUUUCUAACAAGCUCCCUGAUGAUGCCAA
rnacentral:pre_miRNA from 1 species